rnacentral:rRNA from 1 species
AUUGAACGCUGGCGGCAUGCUUUACACAUGCAAGUCGAACGGCAGCGCGGGCUUCGGCCUGGCGGCGAGUGGCGAACGGGUGAGUAAUGCAUCGGAACGUGCCCAGUAGUGGGGGAUAGCCCGGCGAAAGCCGGAUUAAUACCGCAUACGACCUGAGGGUGAAAGCGGGGGGCCGAAAGGCCUCGCGCUAUUGGAGCGGCCGAUGUCGGAUUAGCUAGUUGGUGGGGUAAAGGCUUACCAAGGCGACGAUCCGUAGCUGGUCUGAGAGGACGACCAGCCACACUGGGACUGAGACACGGCCCAGACUCCUACGGGAGGCAGCAGUGGGGAAUUUUGGACAAUGGGGGCAACCCUGAUCCAGCCAUGCCGCGUGCGGGAGGAAGGCCUUCGGGUUGUAUACCGCUUUUGUUCGGGAAGAAAUCCUCUGGGCUAAUACCCCGGGGGGAUGACGGUACCGGAAGAAUAAGCACCGGCUAACUACGUG